UAAUUUGUAUACUCUUAGAGAUGAAAUGAGAUGAACCAUGUAAGAGUUUACAGGAGUGCCUGCUACUCAGGGAGUUCUCCCGCAUGUACUCUUGCCUGCUGCCAUGGAAGAUGUGCCUUUGCUCCUCCCUUGCCUUCUGCCAUGACUGUGAGGCCGACCCAACCAAGAGAAACUAAUGCUGUGUCACUAAACUAAGAUGCUGGGCUUUGAAGAUUUGACAAGUGCAACAUAUCAC